AACGCGAAGAACCUUACCUGGGUUUGACAUGCACCAGAUCGGCGUAGAGAUACGUCCUCCCUUGUGGUUGGUGCACAGGUGGUGCAUGGUUGUCGUCAGCUCGUGUCGUGAGAUGUUGGGUUAAGUCCCGCAACGAGCGCAACCCUUGUCUUAUGUUGCCAGCACAUUUUUGGUGGGGACUCAUGAGAAACUGCCGGGGUCAACUCGGAGGAAGGUGGGGAUGACGUCAAAUCAUCAUGCCCUUUAUACCCAGGGCUUCACACAUGCUACAAUGGUCGGUACAACGGGUUGCGACACUGUGAAGUGAAGCUAAUCUCCCAAAGCCGGCCUCAGUUCGGAUUGGGGUCUGCAACUCGACCCCAUGAAGUCGGAGUCGCUAGUAAUCGCAGAUCAGCACG
rnacentral:rRNA from 1 species